UGAAGCUACCAAGGGCAUACGGUGGAUGCCUUGGCACAGGCAGGCGAUGAAGGACGUGGUAAGCUGCGAUAAGCUCCGGUGAGGUGCAAGCAACCUUUGACCCGGAGAUCUCCGAAUGGGAAAACCCACCUGGAAUAAAAGACCAGGUAUCUCCUUACUGAACACAUAGGUUUGGAGAGGCUAACCCGGGGAACUGAAACAUCUUAGUACCCGGAGGAAGAGAAAGCGAAAGCGAUUCCCUGAGUAGAGGCGAUCGAAACGGGAAGAGUCUAAACCGAGCGGUGCGUGAUAGCUGCGCAAGCGUUGCACCGCCGGGGUAGAGGGAAGUGUCCGGAGGAUGCGUCACCUCGGAUCGAAAAGCAUGCUAGCAGAAGCUUCUGGAAAGUUGCUCCAAAGAGGGUGAAAGGCCCGUACGCGAAAGCAUGCUCUGGAUCUGGGACACUCUCCCAAGUAGCACGGGGCACGUGAAAUCCUGUGUGAAUCCGGGCGGACCACCGCCUAAGACUAAACACUCGCCUGUGACCGAUAGUGAACUAGUACCGUGAGGGAAAGGUGAAAAGCACCCCUGGCGGGGAGUGAAAUAGUACCUGAAACCGUGUGCCUACAAGCAGUCGGAGCAGACUUGUUCUGUGACGGCGUGCCUUUUGCAUAAUGAGCCGGGGAGUUGCUCGUACGUAGCGAGGUUAAGGCCGGGAGGCCGGAGCCGCAGGGAAACCGAGUCUGAACAGGGCGAUUCAGUUGCGUACGGCAGACCCGAAGCCAGGUGAUCUAUCCAUGGCCAGGCUGAAACUUGGGUAAAACCAAGCGGAGGGCCGAACCCACUAACGUUGAAAAGUUAGGGGAUGAGCUGUGGAUAGGGGUGAAAGGCCAAACAAACCUGGAGAUAGCUGGUUCUCCUCGAAAUAGCUCUAGGGCUAGCGUCGAUGCAGUGUUCCGGAGGUAGAGCACUGGAUGGGUUAAGGGGCCUACAAGCUUACUGACCCCAACCAAACUCCGAAUGCCGGAACAUGGUCUACGGCAGUCAGGCCGCGGGGGCUAAGCUCCACGGCCGAGAGGGAAACAACCCAGACCGCCGGCUAAGGUCCCCAAGCAUACGUUAAGUGUAUCUAAGGAAGUGGAGUUGCUUAGACAACUGGGAUGUUGGCUUAGAAGCAGCCAUUCAUUUAAAGAGUGCGUAACAGCUCACCAGUCAAUGCGAUUCUGCGCCGAUAAUAAUCGGGGCUCAAACGUAUCACCGAAGCCGCGGACUGUCGCCUUGAGCGACAGUGGUAGAGGAGCGUUCCGUAUGCGCUGAAGGUGUCCUGUGAGGGAUGCUGGAGUGUACGGAAGUGAUCAUCCCGGCAUGAGUAGCGAUAAUGCAGGUGAGAAACCUGCACACCGAAAGCCUAAGGUUUCCUGGGCAAGGCUGAUCCUCCCAGGGUAAGUCGGGUCCUAAGCACAGGCCGAAAGGCGUAAGCGAUGGGAAGCAGGUGAAUAUUCCUGCACCAUUGUGUGUGCGUUCGAGCGAUGGGGUGACGCGGAAGGUAGGGCCAUCCGGGUGAUGGAUGUCCCGGUUUGCACCUGUAGGAGGGAGCGGCAGGCAAAUCCACCGCUCCAACUCCGAGGGGUGUGACGAGAGCUUCGGCUCGCAAAGUGGUCGUGUCCAUGCCGCCGAGAAAAACCUCUAAGCGAGUACACAUAAUGUCCGUACCGCAAACCGACACAGGUAGGCGAGGAGAGGAUCCUCAGGUGUUCGAGCUAACCCGGGUUAAGGAACUAGGCAAAAUGGUCCCGUAACUUAGGGAUAAGGGACGCCCGGUCUGGUGACGGUGUACAACCUGAGCCGGGCUGGGCCGCAGAGAAAUGGCCUGGGCGACUGUUUACUAAAAACACACGUCUCUGCCAAGUCGUAAGACGACGUAUAGGGACUGACACCUGCCCGGUGCUGGAGCGUUAAGGGGAGAGGUCAGAAUGCGCCUAACCGUGCAUUCGAAGCUUUGAACUGAAGCCCCAGUAAACGGCGGCCGUAACUAUAACGGUCCUAAGGUAGCGAAAUUCCUUGUCGGGUAAGUUCCGACC
rnacentral:rRNA from 1 species